rnacentral:lncRNA from 1 species
UUCAACAUUAAAACAAACACACACACCCACUGUGCUCUGUAUUGUGCUCUUCUCUCCAUUCCAUACAUAUCCACCAUUGCACACAUAUCCACCAUUGCACACAUAUCCACUGUUGCACACAUAUCCACCAUUGCACACAUAUCCACUGUUGCACACAUAUCCACCAUUGCACACAUAUCCAUAAUCACACAUAUAUCACCA